AUACGGAGGAUGCAAGCGUUAUCCGGAUUUAUUGGGUUUAAAGGGUGCGUAGGCGGUUUGCUAAGCGGGAGGUGAAAUGCCGGCGCUCAACGUCGGAAGUGCCUCCCGAACUGGUGGACUUGAAUGACUCUGCCGUGGGAGGAAUAUGUAGUGUAGCGGUGAAAUGCUUAGAGAUUACACAGAACACCGAUUGCGAAGGCAUCUCACGAAGGGUUGAUUGACGCUGAGGCACGAAAGCGUGGGGAUCAAACAGGAUUAGAUACCCUGGUAGCCCACGCAGUAAACGAUGAUGGCUAACCGCUGGUUUAUUCGGAUCAGUGGCCAAGCGAAAGCGAUAAGACAUCCACCUGGGGAGUACGACCGCAAGGUUGAAACUCAAAUGAAUUGACGGGG
rnacentral:rRNA from 1 species